rnacentral:rRNA from 1 species
GACAGAGGUGCCGAGCGUUAGGCGGAAUCACUGGGCUUAAAGCGUGUGUAGGCGGAUGCCUAAGUACCUUGUGAAAUCCCACGGCUCAACCGUGGAACUGCUUGGUACACUGGGUGUCUUGAGCUAUCUAGGGGCAACUGGAACAAACGGUGGAGCGGUGAAAUGCGUAGAUAUCGUUUGGAACGCCAAUGGUGAAAACAGGUUGCUGGGGAUAUGCUGACGCUGAGACACGAAAGCCAGGGGAGCAAACGGG